UGCCUUACACAUGCAAGUCGAACGGCAGCAUGAUCUAGCUUGCUAGAUUGAUGGCGAGUGGCGAACGGGUGAGUAAUACAUCGGAACGUGCCCUGUAGUGGGGGAUAACUAGUCGAAAGAUUAGCUAAUACCGCAUACGACCUGAGGGUGAAAGUGGGGGACCGCAAGGCCUCAUGCUAUAGGAGCGGCCGAUGUCUGAUUAGCUAGUUGGUGGGGUAAAGGCCCACCAAGGCGACGAUCAGUAGCUGGUCUGAGAGGACGAUCAGCCACACUUGGGACUGAGACACGGCCCAGACUCCUACGGGAGGCAGCAGUGGGGAAUUUUGGACAAUGGGCGAAAGCCUGAUCCAGCAAUGCCGCGUGUGUGAAGAAGGCCUUCGGGUUGUAAAGCACUUUUGUCCGGAAAGAAAUGGCUCUUGGGUAAUACCUGGGGUCGAUACCGUCCCGAAGAAUUAGGACCGGUACUCUGCCA
rnacentral:rRNA from 1 species